ACGUACAUUGUUUCAUCAGGAACGUGGUUCACCUGGGAGGAUCGGCACAUAAGCUCAGGAAAGAGAUGUUUCGUGUGUGUGUG